GACAGCGCAGUGCAGUGUGACACAUAAACACAUAUAAGACAAUUAAAGGAUUAGUGAAGUGAAGCUCUAGUUUCAAAGGUCGGUUUU